rnacentral:rRNA from 1 species
UGGCUAACUCCUACGGGAGGCAGCAGUGGGGAAUAUUGGACAACGGGCGAAAGCCUGAUCCAGCCAUGCCGCGUGUGUGAAGAAGGUCUUCGGAUUGUAAAGCACUUUAAGUUGGGAGGAAGGGCAUUAACCUAAUACGUUAGUGUCUUGACGUUACCGACAGAAUAAGCACCGGCUAACUCUGUGCCAGCAGCCGCGGUAAUACAGAGGGUGCAAGCGUUAAUCGGAAUUACUGGGCGUAAAGCGCGCGUAGGUGGUUUGUUAAGUUGAAUGUGAAAUCCCCGUGCUCAACCUGGGAACUGCAUCCAAAACUGGCAAGCUAGAGUAUGGUAGAGGGUAGUGGAAUUUCCUGUGUAGCGGUGAAAGGCGUAGACAGAGGAAGGAACACCAGUGGCGAAGGCGACUACCUGGACUGAUACUGACACUGUGCUGCGAAAGCGUGGGGAGCAAACAGGAUUAGAUACCCGGGUAGUCCAGCUGG